rnacentral:rRNA from 1 species
CUGAGUGCGAAAGCGUGGGGAGCAAACGGGAUUAGAUACCCCGGUAGUCACGCGUAAACGAUGUCUACUAGCCGUUGGAGGACUUGAUCCUUUAGUGGCGCAGCUAACGCGAUAAGUAGACCGCCUGGGGAGUACGGUCGCAAGAUUAAAACUCAAAUGAAUUGACGGGGGCCCGCACAAGCGGUGGAGCAUGUGGUUUAAUUCGAAGCAACGCGAAGAACCUUACCUACUCUUGACAUCCAGUGAACUUUUGAGAGAUCAAUUGGUGCCUUCGGGAACACUGAGACAGGUGCUGCAUGGCUGUCGUCAGCUCGUGUUGUGAAAUGUUGGGUUAAGUCCCGUAACGAGCGCAACCCUUGUCCUUAGUUACCAUCACUAAGUUGGGGACUCUAAGGAGACUGCCGGUGACAAACCGGAGGAAGGCGGGGACGACGUCAAGUCAUCAUGGCCCUUACGAGUAGGGCUACACACGUGCUACAAUGGCAUGUACAAAGGGUUGCCAAGCCGCGAGGUGGAGCUAAUCCCAUAAAGCAUGUCGUAGUCCGGAUUGGAGUCUGCAACUCGACUCCAUGAAGUCGGAAUCGCUAGUAAUCGUGAAUCAGAAUGUCACGGUGAAUACGUUCCCGGGCCUUGUACACACCGCCCGUCACACCAUGGGAGUGGGUUGCUCCAGAAGUAGAUAGCUUAACCUUCGGGAGGGCGUUUACCACGGAGUGAUUCAUGACUGGGGUGAAGUCGUAACAAGGUAGCCGUA